UUAAAUUCAAGGCCACAGAUCUCAGAUGGACUUUCACCAAGGCCUGGUAAUCCUACUGUAUAGGACAUUCAAUUCUCCACUUUAUCCCAAAUCAUAAAGCAAGAACCUUAGAAACCCACAGAAAUCUUUGGUAGACAAUCAAAUACUAAAAUAAAAACAAAUUUACAGGUAGAAGCGAGCCCAGCGUGGCUUAAAAAAAAAAACUCUGCUUUAGAUGAAGGCUAUGCAUAAGGAGAGGAACAUCUAAAGGCCAGUCAAAAGUCUUCACUGGAGCUUGAAAAUCCACAGCUCUGAGCCUCCACGCACCGUCAUUUGAAACCAGAUGUCAAGCCCUCCUUUCUUUUCAGAUAUUCAUCUUAUCAACAGAAACUAAGGAUGUUACACGGACUGAAGAAGGAAGGCAGGAAGAAGCUAGAAGCAAGAAUUAACAUGUCUUUGCAUGAUCUGAAAGCCUCUUUGGACCAAAGAUAAUACAUGCUGAGG